rnacentral:rRNA from 1 species
GUAGGGAAUAUUGGGCAAUGGAUGCAAGUCUGACCCAGCCAUCCCGCGUGCCGGAAGAAGGCCCUCAGGGUUGUAAACGGCUUUUGACGGUGAAGAACCGACAGGAUGCGUCCUGUUUUGACGGUAGCCGUUGAAUAAGCACCGGCUAACUUCGUGCCAGCAGCCGCGGUAAUACGGAGGGUGCGAGCGUUGUCCGGAUUUAUUGGGUUUAAAGGGUGCGUAGGCUGGAGGGACAGUCAGCGGUGAAAAGCAGUUGCUCAACAAUUGUCUUGCCGCAGAUACUACCUUUCUUGGAUUGGGAGGAGGUUACCGGAACGGAUGGUGUAGCGGUGAAAUGCAUAGAUAUCAUCCAGAACGCCAAUUGCGAAGGCAGGUAACUGUACCUAUAUCGACGCUGAUGCACGAAAGCAUGGGUAGCGAACAGGAUUAGAAACCCCUGUAGUCC